AGCUUGCUCCGCUGACGAGUGGCGAACGGGUGAGUAAUAUAUCGGAACGUACCCAGAAGUGGGGGAUAACGUAGCGAAAGUUACGCUAAUACCGCAUACGAUCCACGGAUGAAAGUAGGGGACCUUCGGGCCUUAUGCUUUUGGAGCGGCCGAUAUCUGAUUAGCUAGUUGGUAGGGUAAAGGCCUACCAAGGCGACGAUCAGUAGCUGGUCUGAGAGGACGACCAGCCACACUGGAACUGAGACACGGUCCAGACUCCUACGGGAGGCAGCAGUGGGGAAUUUUGGACAAUGGGCGCAAGCCUGAUCCAGCAAUGCCGCGUGAGUGAAGAAGGCCUUCGGGUUGUAAAGCUCUUUUGUCAGGGAAGAAACGGUAGAGGCUAAUAUCCUUUGCUAAUGACGGUACCUGAAGAAUAAGCACCGGCUAACUACGUGCCAGCAGCCGCGGUAAUACGUAGGGUGCAAGCGUUAAUCGGAAUUACUGGGCGUAAAGCGUGCGCAGGCGGUUUUGUAAGUCUGACGUGAAAUCCCCGGGCUCAACCUGGGAAUUGCGUUGGAGACUGCAAGGCUAGAAUCUGGCAGAGGGGGGUAGAAUUCCACGUGUAGCAGUGAAAUGCGUAGAGAUGUGGAGGAACACCGAUGGCGAAGGCAGCCCCCUGGGUCAAGAUUGACGCUCAUGCACGAAAGCGU
rnacentral:rRNA from 1 species